GACGAACGCUGGCGGCGUGCCUAAUACAUGCAAGUCGAACGCACUCUCGUUUAGAUUGAAGGAGCUUGCUCCUGAUUGAUAAACAUUUGAGUGAGUGGCGGACGGGUGAGUAACACGUGGGUAACCUGCCCUAAAGUGGGGGAUAACAUUUGGAAACAGAUGCUAAUACCGCAUAAAACCUAAACACCGCAUGGUGUAGGGUUGAAAGAUGGUUUCGGCUAUCACUUUAGGAUGGACCCGCGGUGCAUUAGUUAGUUGGUGAGGUAAAGGCUCACCAAGACCGUGAUGCAUAGCCGACCUGAGAGGGUAAUCGGCCACACUGGGACUGAGACACGGCCCAGACUCCUACGGGAGGCAGCAGUAGGGAAUCUUCCACAAUGGACGAAAGUCUGAUGGAGCAACGCCGCGUGAGUGAAGAAGGUUUUCGGAUCGUAAAACUCUGUGUUGGAGAAGAAUGUAUCUGAUAGUAACUGAUCAGGUAGUGACGGUAUCC
rnacentral:rRNA from 1 species